CCUACGGGGGGCAGCAGUGGGGAAUAUUGGACAAUGGGGGGAACCCUGAUCCAGCCAUGCCGCGUGUGUGAAGAAGGCCCUCGGGUUGUAAAGCACUUUCAGUGAGGAAGAACGCCUGGUGGUUAAUACCCAUCAGGAAAGACAUCACUCACAGAAGAAGCACCGGCUAACUCCGUGCCAGCAGCCGCGGUAAUACGGAGGGUGCGAGCGUUAAUCGGAAUUACUGGGCGUAAAGCGCGCGUAGGUGGCUUGAUAAGCCGGUUGUGAAAGCCCCGGGCUCAACCUGGGAACGGCAUCCGGAACUGUCAAGCUAGAGUGCAGGAGAGGAAGGUAGAAUUCCCGGUGUAGCGGUGAAAUGCGUAGAGAUCGGGAGGAAUACCAGUGGCGAAGGCGGCCUUCUGGACUGACACUGACACUGAGGUGCGAAAGCGUGGGUAGCAAACAGGAUUAGAUACCAUAGUAGUC
rnacentral:rRNA from 1 species